UACGAAGGGUGCAAACGUUGCUCGGAAUUAUUGGGCGUAAAGCGCACGUAGGCGGCUUUGCAAGUCCGAUGUGAAAUCUUAUGGCUUAACCAUAAAAGUGCAUCGGAAACUGCAGAGCUUGAGUACUUAAGAGGAUCGCGGAAUUCCCGGUGUAGAGGUGAAAUUCGUAGAUAUCGGGAGGAACACCAGUGGCGAAGGCGGCGAUCUGGGAAGAUACUGACGCUGAGGUGCGAAAGCGUGGGGAGCAACAGG
rnacentral:rRNA from 1 species